rnacentral:sRNA from 1 species
CCUGAAAUAACGUCUUAACGAGUGCGUGUUGCUAA